AUUUUCUUCUUGUCUCUUCUCAUCUCGCCUUUCCUCUAUUGAAACUUAUUUAAAGAUGAUGAAGCAGUGACCAACAAAAUAUAUUUACUUUUGGCAGUACGUAAGAUUAGUGGUGGUAUCAAUGUUCUUGUUAUUAUAGUUUUAAUGCAUGGUUUGUAUAUUAAUUGUUACUGUUCUUCUUUUUCUUCCACUCUCCAUUAUCCCCUUGUACUAUAUAGCAGGGUUACGUCUUGACUACGUGGUUGGUGGUGGAAGGUUUUUGACAUAAUUGAUGGGUUAAAUUUUGGUGAUUUUAUUAUGUCUUAUCUUUUACUUGUCAAUGAUCACAACAUGUAAGGAACAAUAAUGCUUGUAACAGUGAUGCUCUCUCUUUCUGUCUUUUCUUCCCUUUCUCUUUCAUAGAAAUUUAAAAGGUUAUUUGUUACGUCAGUCUUUUUUCACUCCAACAAAAGGCCUUUUACUAUCUAAAUCCUCUAUAAUUUUAUAUAGUUUAACGAAAGUAUGUGUGCAUAUGACAACCUGUCAAGAAGAUAUAGAGAAC